GGAAGUAAUCGUAACAAGGUCUCCGUUGGUGAACCAGCGGAGGGAUCAUUACCGAGUUUACAACUCCCAAACCCCUGUGAACAUACCAUUUGUUGCCUCGGCGGUGCCUGCUUCGGCAGCCCGCCAGAGGACCCAAACCCUUGAUUUUAUACAGUAUCUUCUGAGUAAAUGAUUAAAUAAAUCAAAACUUUCAACAACGGAUCUCUUGGUUCUG
rnacentral:misc_RNA from 1 species